rnacentral:lncRNA from 1 species
AUUCAGAAACAUGACAAAAGACCUCACCAUCCAACUCUGUCCCAUUCAGAAUGUAAAUCACACCUUUGCCAGUGUAUCCACUGCCAUAUAUAACAUAUACUACAGUGUAUUGUUAUAACUGUUUUAUUUCAUUACGUAUUUUUGUUAAUCUAUCACUAUGCCUAAUUUGUAAUUAAACUUUAUAGUAGGGGUGUAUGUAUAAGAAAAAACAUAGUAUAUGCACAGCUUUGUACUGUCUUUGAUUUCAGGCAUCCACUCAGAAUCCUGCAAUGUAUUCGCUGCAGAUGGGGGUCGCCACUGCAUAAUUACUUCGAAUCAGUCUUCAAGAGAAAUACAGUGCAAGUUCCUCUCUGUUCAGAGCUGCUACACAGUGACAGAUGCUUCUUACUGCGAAAGGCAGUUCUAUAGGCACCAGGGGCUUCUGCUCUCACCACAAUGUUCUUUUCUGAAAAUCAGCACAGUUUCCUUCUCUGAAAGUGCAAUGUUAUCUACAAUCAACACA